AAAGGGAAUGAAAUAUGAACAAUGAAGUGAUGCUAAUUCAAUAUUAUUAUCAACCAAAAAACUCAUAAAGUUCUAGACCCUCUGCCCAGAGCAAGCUCUUGAGAAGAAUCGUAAUCUUCUUCUCCCAAUCCCACCGAAAAACCAAAAAUGUGUCCCCCCUACCUCAUAAUAUAUAACAAACCAUUUUCUCUCUCUUCUAACUAACACAAUUCCCUCACAAAGCCAUGUCACCCUUUUCUCUCCUCUUAUAAACUCUNCCCCACCUAUUUUUAUUAUCUCUUGGGUCCGUAUCAAUGCCUUCUUCAUGAACUAAAGCCUUGUCCUCAAGGCUAAACUCUGGAAACUGACUUCGAAUAUUUAUUUCAUCUUCCCAAGUGGCUUCAUCUACAUUCUGCUCUCUCCAUUGAACCAGUACCUGCUUCUUAGUUUCUCCUCUUUUCGUGUAGUUCCUAGUGGCUAAGAUGGCCAUGGGAACUAAUAUUUCAGCUUUGUCAUCAUCUAACCCUAUAGGGAGAGCAUCCUCAACCUUAUACUUUCCCACCGCUUUCUUCAGCAAAGAUACAUGAAAAACAGGAUGAAUCUUUGAAGUAGGUGGUAAUUUCAGACGAUAUGCCACCUUUCAUACUUUCUCCUCUACUUCAAAUGGUCCAUAGUAUUUAGCACUUAAUUUAUGAUUAAUUCUGCUCAUGACCGAUUGUUGUCUAUUCUGUUUCAACUUCAAAAACACAAGAUCUCCCACCGAAAAAUGUCUUUCCCUUCGAUGCUUAUUAGCUUGAAUCAUCAUUCUGUCUUGGGCACGUAAUAAAUGAUACUUCAACUGUCUCAGUGCUUCAUCCCUCUCUAGAAGAUCCUUUUGAACAGUUGCUACCCUCACCUCUCCUUGAACUACUUGUACAAUCUUAGGAAGAGUUCUCCCGUACACCGCUUCAAAAGGAGUGAUUUUUGUGGAGCUGUGAUAAGUGGUAUUAAACCACAACUCUGCCCACGACAUCCAAGUCACCCACGUCUUAGGUUGAUCAGUAAUAAAACAUUUGAGGUAAGUCUUCAGACAUCGAUUAGUUACCUCAGUCUUUCCAUCCGAUUGCGGAUGAUACGCCAUGCUCAUUUUCAGCUUUGUUCCUUGCAUCUUAAAGAGCUCUCUCCAAAACAAGCUCAUGAAUAUCGGAUCCCUAUCACUCACCACCGAAUUCGGUAUUCCAUGUAGCCUUACUAUUUCUUUUACAAAAAUCUCAGCCAUGGACUUUGUCGUAUAAGGAUGUUUAAGGGGAACAAAAUGACAGUAUUUUGUUAAACGAUCCACCACUACCAAAACUGCUUCAAAGCCUUUAGACCGGGGCAAUCCAGUAAUGAAAUCCAUACUGAUAUCCUCCCAAACUCUUUCCGGAAUCUGUAAAGGCUGUAAUAAACCAUUAGGGGCUGCUGUUAUAUAUUUCUGCCUCUGACAUGUAUCACAGGCUUGGACAAAUUGUUGGACAUCUUUCUUCAUUCCUUUCCAGUACACAUUAGCUGCAAUCCUUCUAUAGGUUCGAUAAAAUCCUGAGUGACCCCCUUGCGGAGUAGAGUGAGCUUCUUCCAAUAACCUAUUGACCCACAUAGAUUUCUCCGGUAUCACUAAGCGAUCUUGAUAAUAUAAAACGCCUUGUUUAUAUUCAUAUCCCACAUAAACCUGUCCAGCCUUUAUUUCUUCUAUUAUCUUCUUCAAUUUAUCAUCAAUAUGUACCGCUGCAUUAAGCUCUUGCCAAUCUAACCAAACUGGAAAAGAGACCAUGCUCUUCAUUUCUCCUUCAUCUCUACUUCGGGAUAGAGCAUUUGCCCCCUGAUUUUCUUUGCCUGGCUUAUAAACAAUCUCAAAAUUAUAGCCUAAUAGUCUAGCCAACCAGUUUUGUUGUCCACCUGUUGUUAUCCUUUGCUGCAUCAAUUGCUUAAGACUCUUCUGAUAUGAAAAAACAGUAAAUUUGCGACCCAAAAGAUCAGGCCUCCAGUGUUGGAUAGCCAAUGCAACUGCCAUCAACUCUCUUUCGUAGGCUGACUUCGUCAAAUUGCGUGAACUCAAGGCCUUGCUAUAGUACGUCACAGGUUUUUUUCCUUGCAUUAGGAUUGCUCCAAUCCCUGUCCCAGAGGCAUCACAUCCCAGGACGAACUCUUCUUCAAAGUUUGGGAGCCUCAACACUGGUGCUGAUGUGACCCUUUGUUUGAGCUCAUCAAAUGCUUCUUGAGCUCGUUCAUUCCACCCAAAUCCAUCCUUUCUAGUCAGCUCUGUUAGUGGUUUAGCUAUCUUACCAUAAUCUUUUAUGAACUUACGAUAGUAGCCUGUGAGACCCAAAAAUCCACGAACUCCCUUUACGUUCUUGGGAAUUGGCCACUCUAACACACUAUUAACCUUCGUUGGGUCCACCGCAACUCCAUGUAUGGAAAUAAUAUGUCCCAGAUACUCCACCUUCUCAUGGCCAAACAAACAUUUUUCCUUGUUCGCAAAUAAUUGGUGAUCUCUCAACACUUCUAACACCUUUUCAAGCAACUGCAUAUGCUCUUCCCAACUGUUGUUGUACACGAGUAUAUCAUCAAAAAACACCAAUACCUUCGUCUCAACAGCGUCCGAAAAACUUCAUUCAUGAGAGCUUGGAAUGUCGACGGGGCGUUCAUAAGUACAAAGGGCAUCACGAGGUACUCAUAGUGACCCUCAUGGGUUCGGAAUGUUGUCUUUGGAAUGUCUUCCUCCCUCAUUCUGACUUGAUGAUAUCCUGAACGAAGGUCCAAUUUAGAGAAAUAUUUGGCUCCAUGCAACUCAUCCAAUAACUCCUCAAUAAAUGGUAUUGGAAAUUUAUCUGGAAUAGUGACCUUGUUCAAAGCUCUAUAAUCAACACACAUGCGCCAUUUGUUAUUUUUCUUCUUCACCAAAAUGACUGGGCUCGAGUAAGCACUCUGGCUAUGCCUGAUAUGACCCACUUCCAUCAACUCUUGCACUUGUCUCUCAAUUUUUUCUUCUGAUGAUACGCAUAUCUGUAAGGCCUCACGUUAAUAGGUUCUUGUCCUGGUUUGAGAUGAAUUUUGUGUUCCUUUACACGUCUAGGAGGUAGCCCCUUAGGUUCUUCAAACACAUCUUUGAAAUACUGCAACAAGUGAUUUAAGACGCUUCGUUGCUCUGGACCCAACUCUGCAACUUCCAUCUUCUCUUUUUCCUCCAACACCCCACACACUGAAAUUAACAAUGAAUCCCCAUGAGGGACCCCUCUUAGCAGUUUCUCUCCUUGCUGUGUCUGGAUCUUCAUUUGCUGUUUUUUCCAAUCCAUAGUGGUCUCUCCCUACGUCAUUAACCACGACAUCCCCAAUAUCAUGUCCAUGUCCUCCAAAUCGAAGAGAAAAGCAUCAAUUUCAAACUCACCAUCAUCAAUCCUUACUUUGAUGCCUCGACAAAUCCCUUGAGUCUUGGAUUUGUGCCCAUCUCCCAUCAGAAUCUUCAUUUGCUUGGUUCUUUCCCACUGCCAACCCAAAGCUUCCACAAGUUUUCGUGAAAUAAAAUUGUGCGGGCUCCGCUGUCGACUAAGAACAACAUCGAAAUCUCCCCAAUCAGACCCCGUAACUUCAUAGUCCUCGGUUGAUCAUUUCGGUCUCUCGUGAGAGAAUAGAGGUUUAACGUUGUACAUUCUACCACCACCUCAUCUUCGUCAUCCCUCUCCUCAUUUUCCUCUUCAUCCCCUUCGCAUUCAACUUGGAUUUCCUCAUUCACCAUGACCACCCUUAGCUGCUUAAUAGGACAUUGAUGAAGGGGACCAUACACCCCACCGCAUUUGAAACACAAGCCCUUUUGUUUUCGGUCGAGAAGUUCUUGAUAAGAAAGAUGAUUUGCUCCUCUAUCACGUGACCCCCCUUUAUUCUUUGCACCCCAAUCCUUCUGAACACUUGGGCCAGGCCCAUUUCCUCCCCAACUUCCCCCAUUUUGUUUUGGACCAGUUUUUCCCACCACAGUUGAAAUGGGUCGGUGCCCUACUUGAUACCUAUCCCUUCAAGACUCUCCCCUUCCCUGCCAUAUUUUAUUUCUCCCUGAUAUCUCCACAUCGAUGGCGCGAGCUACAUUCAUCAUGCGCCCCCUGGACAAAGGAUGUGCCACGUGCAAGCUGCGUAUUCUCGCACGUAUUUCGUACUUCAGCCCUUGUGUAAAAUAAGAAAAGUACUGUUCAUCGGGCAUUCAUGGCACCUGAGCAAUGAGACACUCAAAACUUGUAAUAUAGUCUUCGAUACUUCCUAAUUUUUUUAUGGCAGCCAAUUGAUCAUAAAUACUCCCUUCUCCCCGGCCUCCAUAUCCCUCCAGCAUCUCUCGUUUCAAAUCUUCCCAAGUUAACUCAUCAUAUUCAUUUAAUAAAGCAUGGAAAAAAUGAAUUGUGCUCCCUUCCAUACACAAUUGUGCGAGAUUCACCCGGACUGCCUCUCGUGUCUCUUGUACGUUAAAAUAAACUUCAUCUCUUGCUAUCCACCCCGUUGGGUCUUCUCCAUAGAACGGUGGUAAUUCUAUCUUCUUCAUCGAUUGCCGAAAUUCGGCUAAAUCGUCCCCCUCGAGUUGUCUCAUACUUUUCGUUCUCUGCGUAUUCACCGAUCCUGACCCCAGCUCUUUGUUCUCCCCCUCAUUCAUAUUAGUAAACUUCGAAAUUAAGUGAAGGAGCUUUGAUUGAUUCUCAGCGGCUUCUCGGCAUAAGGUUACGAUCUGUUCUGCUGAAUCCUUACGCAGCUUCUCCAAGUUGGUUUGACUUUGCAACGAUUGCGUCACAAGCUCCUCGACCACCGCUUUGAGUUUAGCGACCUCACCCACAACAAGAUCUGCCUCAUUCUCCUCAACCGCUAGCUCUGCUUGGACAUUAUUCUUUCUUGGUGGCAUGAUCUCCGGUCGGGAAAUAUUGAUCUGGCAGGUCAGACCAAUUUGUUAGAAACCAGAAUUUGGAAAUAAAGGGAAUCAAAUAUGAACAAUGAAGUGAUGCUAAUUCAAUAUUAUUAUCAACCAAAAAACUCAGAAAGUUCUAGACCCUCUGCCUAGAGCAAGCUCCUGAGAAGAAUCGUAAUCUUCUUCUCCCAAUCCCACCGAAAAACCAAAAACGUGUCCCCCCUCACAGCCUACACCUCAUAAUAUAUAACAAACCAUUUUCUCUCUCUUCUAACUAACACAAUUCCCUCACAAAGCCAUGUCACCCUUUUCUCUCCUCUUAUAAACUCUNCCCCACCUAUUUUUAUUAUCUCUUGGGUCCG
rnacentral:lncRNA from 1 species